GGUGGUUGAAAUCAGGCAGCCGGCUCAUCUUAGUCAAGAUCCAUGAUAGAUAUUCCAUAAUCAGUACAAAUAGCAAGGGGAAAUGGGAUAUCCUUGCCUUAAUCCCCUCUUCCCUUCAAAAAAAUCCAUGGCAGUCCCCAUUUACAUUGCUAGAGAAGUUGGUUGUCACACAAGUCAUUAUAAGUUGGGAAAACAUAGGUGGGAAACCAUAUCCUUGUAGCAUUUUUUCAACAAUUUCCAUCUUACCAUGUCAUACGCUUUGCGCAAGUCAAUCUUAAUCAAACACCUUGGUGUAGUCUUCCUUCUAUAGUGCCUCAUCAAAUCGUGGCAAAUGAGAACAUUAUGCACUAAUGAUCUACCUUUAUGAAAGCAGCUUGUGUUUCAUUUACCAACUCCUGUAGUACCUUCCUCAAUCUUGCACUUAGAAGGUUAGAGAUACCCUUAUAGAUCACAUUACGUCAAGAGAUUGGUCGAAAUUGACUUGCAUUUUGUGGCUUCGCAAUCUUAGGAAUUAAAGUGAUCACGGUCGCAUUCAGUUGCCCCAACAUUUUACCAUUCUUCUUAAAUUCCAAAAUGGCAUCUGUGACUUCUUCCCCGACAGUGUCCCAAGCGUCUCCGAGAAAACCACUCGUGUAACCAUCAGGUCCAGGGCUCCUGGUUGUCUUUAUACUGAAGAUAGCAUCCUUAACCUCCUUCAUCGUAUACUCAGCUAGUAGUUGCAUCUGUUGCUUCAUUGAUAAUGUCUUCCCAUUCUUAAAAAAAACAUUAGAAGCUUUUUGUUUUUGUACUGUGCCCACCUCACCCAAUGGUUUUUUAUGAUAUUCCACAAACAUUUCUGCAAUCUGAUUAGGUUCAGUGUGAAUCUGUAAGUUACCACCCUGCAAUUGUGUUACUGCUUGCUGGAAGCCUUCUUUGCUUGAUCACACCAUAAAAAUACUUCGUGUUAUCAUCUCCUAGCUUCAACAUGUAGCCCUGCUUCUCUGGGCCAACAACAUUUCCGCCAAAUAGCUCACCCUCUUCAAUCCAACCUCUUUCUCCUGUUUCAAUAGUAGUAAACACGUAGGGUUAACCUGUAGUUGUUCUUGCACUGUUUUCACCCUUUCUCUUAAACUAUUCACCUCACUAUUAAGGUUGCUGAAGUACUGCACAUGUAACCUUAAUGUCUGUUUGAGCCCCUUCAUUUCACUACAACUUUGUACAUUUGACACCCUUCCACUUGUCUUUGCCAUUCCAAUGUAGUAAUGUCUUUGCAUUGUGGGUGAGCACUCCAUAUGUUGCAGUAUUUAAAAGGUCUUUUCCGUUUAGGUUUAUCAGCCAACAAACUAACAUGUAUUGGGCUGUGAUCACUAGCUCCUUCAUGCAUAAAAUGAGCUCGACACCCAGGCAUCUCAUCCAACAAUUCUCCAUUCAUGAAGACCAAUCCAGCUUAGAAUACACUUUACUGUUCUCCCCCUUAUCAUUCCAAGUAUAGGUGCUGCCGGUUCUAGCCAUUUCCUCUAAAACACACACAUCGAGCCAUUCCUCAAAUUCUGCCACUUCCGCAAGUGUUACUGGAUUGCCACCCAGUCUAUCCUCACUAUGUAGAACAGCAUUAAAGUCUCCAAGAAUUCCCCAAGGAUUUCUAAUUCCAACUCCUAUCUGAGUUAAAUAACUCCACAAUUCUUUCCUUUCCUCCCUCUCAUUGGAAGCAUAAACAAAUGUCAUGUAAAAUUCCUUUUAUAGAGGAAUAUAACUAACAAGACAUGCCAUUGCUUGUGCAUUCUCACUGCAAAUUGUUACCUCACACCUAUCUUCUCUCCACAACACCCAAAUCCUUCCAUUAUAAUGGGAAGAAAGAUUCGUAUGAUACUUCCACCUUCCAAAUAGAUUACCUGCUAUAUAUAUAUAUAUAUAUAUAUAUAUGUUCUUCUUUUGAUAAAGAACCUGCUAUAUAUAUUCUAUAUUGUUACUUCUUAUUUUUGUCUCCAACAGACCAAUAAUGUUCACUUCAGCUGAUUACAGAGGAGUUUGACCUCCUGUUUUGUGAGGCCAUUUAGGCCCCUUACAUUCCAACACACUACAUUAACCAUUCCCCUUAGGGAUUGGUUUUGUAGCCCCACAUUCCUGACUUGUUCUGCAGCCAUCUCUUGCUCUCCCACUUGAGUCAAAGAUUGGAAUGAAUUAUUUACUACCACAGCUAUAGACACGUUUGCGUUAUCCUGAACCCUUUGCUUCCCAUUGCCACACUGAACUCUCCUUGGUUCAAAUCUCUUCUCCCUGC
rnacentral:lncRNA from 1 species